UUGGUGCUAUGCAGGAGAAGUUCCAUGCCAGUUUGAUCCUUUUUUACCUUUGCAAAUUAUUUCUCUUUCUGUGUGGAAGCUUUCAAUGUUUUCUUUGUAUUCCCAAGAUAAGAAAAUGAAGAGCAUUUUCAGACUUUGUCUUGUGAGGAUGAAAGCACCAACUUUACAGAGUUCCCAUACUGAGUGAAGGCUAAGAAAGUGGCUGACUCACCACAAAUACUCAAUGAAAUGUUCGCUGAAUUGGAAACCACAAGAAAAUGUCUUCUACAUAUAACAAGUAAUAUAAAUAAUUUUAAGGAGAAAGUUUAAUCCUCCUAACUUUCUUCUGCUGAAUCCCUUGGGUGCGACUUCCUGCUGGGAUACUGUGCAAUACGGAGUCCAUGACUAUGUGCAUGUGGAAUGACCACGACUGAGAAGACAGUGAGGCAAGACCUCGUUCCCCCUUCCUCACACUUCCUGGCUCAACAACCAGAAUUCCAGUUAAGGGCUGGAGCCUCUCCAAACCAGCAGCCUCCCUGACCUCUCCCAAGAGGCCUAUGCUUCCAGCCACCCUACCCAUUGCCUCCACUGGGAGUUCUCCUGAAUGCGUAUCUGAGGCAUCCAUGUCCUACGAAGACACUUGCACAGCUCUCUACAACCACAGAGGAAAUAAGUGUGCACCCAGGUUCUCAGUGGAUUGCAUGAUGCCCACCCACACUGGGGAGAGCAAUCUGCUUUACUCAGCCCACCCAUACAAAUACUAAUCUCUUCCAGAAACACCAUCACAGACAUGCCCCAAAAUAACGAUUCAUCAGACUUCUGGGCAUUCUGUGGCCCUACCAACAUGACUCAGGAGAUUAACUGUCACACAAUCCAAGACUACCUUCCUCCACCUCUCUCAAAGCUAGCUCCUGGGUACUGAGAAGAGAAGCUCCUUUUCUUCGCCAUCCAUAGCACAUGGGGAUAGCAGGGUGAGAGCUGGAGCAGCCAACCUGGACCCAGAGAAACUGAAGCUGUGUUGGAAAAACAGAACAUUGAGAUAUAAGAAGCCCAGGUUCUCAGUGCCAAGGAGCUGCUAUAUCCGCCCUAACCUAUUCAUGUUCAGGUUGUCAUAGGAGACAAAAGUAAACGUCUCU